rnacentral:rRNA from 1 species
AUUGAACGCUGGCGGCAGGCCUAACACAUGCAAGUCGAGCGAGCGGCGGACGGGAGAGCAAUGUAUGGGGAUCUGCCCGAUAGAGGGGGAUAAAUAAUGGAAACGGAGGCUAAAACCGCAUAAUAUCGGAUGAACCGAUAUGGGAUUAGCUAGUAGGUGGGGGAAAGGCUCACCUAGGCGACGAUCUCUAGCUGGUCUGAGAGGAUGCUCAGCCACACUGGAACUGAGACACGGCCCAGACUCCUACGGGAGGCAGCAGUGGGGAAUAUUGCACAAUGGGCGAAAGCCUGAUGCAGCCAUGCCGCGUGUAUGAAGAAGGCCUUAGGGUUUUAAAGUACUUUCAGCGGGGAGGCGUUACCCGCAGAAGAAGCACCGGCUAACUCCGUGCCAGCAGCCGCGGUAAUAC